rnacentral:rRNA from 1 species
GUCUAUGGCCACGCCACCCUGAACGUGCCCGAUCCCGGCUGAUCUUGGAAGUUAAGGAGGGUCGGGCCUGGUUAGUACUUGGAUGGAAGACCACCUAGGAGGACCAGGUGCUGUAGGUG